UACAGAGGUCCCGAGCGUUGUUCGGAUUCACUGGGCGUAAAGGGUGCGUAGGUGGCAUAGAAAGUUUGAUGUGAAAGCUCAGGGCUUAACCCUGAAAUGGCAUUGAAUACUGCUGUGCUGGAGGUUUGGAGGGGGGACUGGAAUUCUUGGUGUAGCAGUGAAAUGCGUAGAUAUCAAGGGGAACACCAGUGGCGAAGGCGAGUCCCUGGACAACACCUGACACUGAGGCACGAAAGCUAGGGGAGCAAACAGG
rnacentral:rRNA from 1 species